ACGGCCAUAUCACGUUGAAACACCGGUUUACGUACGAUCACAGAAGUUAAGCAAUGUCGAGUCCGCUCAGUACCUUGAUGGGUGAGCGCUUAGGAA